rnacentral:misc_RNA from 1 species
CAAGUGCGAUAUUUAAUGCGAUUUGCAUGAAUCUGUGAGUCAUCGAGUCUUUGAACGCAACUUGCGCCCGCAAGGGCAUGUCUGUUUGAGUGCGGGAAUAACUAUGCUGCAAAGCGAAUUGCAAAGCGGUUUGUUUUGCUAAAAUGAUGAAAAACCAAAAGUUGGAAUGCUCUUGGAUUGAAGCUAGAGACGUCAUGUCUUGUUCAAUUCCACCACAUUCCAACUCACACCACACGCCUCAGGUCAGUCAAGAUUACCCGCUGAACUUAA